GCCUCAAGUCUCUACACUAGGAGGGUCAGUGGAAGAAACUGGGGCUAUCUGGCUUGGAGAAGAGAGGCCUCCAGGUGGAACAUGCAACAUGAGAGCUGUCUUCAUGUGUUUGCACAAGGAGGAAGAAUCUGAUUGGGUCUAUUGGUAUCUAAGGGCAGAGCCUGGAGCAGUGGAGGGUUCAGGAGGGAGUGAUUACAAAAUGGCCAGUGGAGGCUGAAUAGGAGGAAAAGCUCCCAGACAACUGGGAUUACCUCAGCUGGAAUAUCAGAUUACUCCCACUUCCUGAAAAACCUCUUGUAACAAAGUACUGAUCUCCACUCUCAGAUGCAACCCUGAAGGAAAAUCCAGCAACAAGGGACAUGUGGCUGCCUUCUGGAAGAAAAGAUCCUAGGUCCUUGUUGCCGUUGCUGAAGGUGUAGCUGGCUUCCUCCAGUCCCUGACUCUAUGGGGAUAAAGGGGCAUCCUGAUAAUAGAUGAUGUACUGUGAGACACUCAUGAAUGACCCUGAAGUCUUCUUUUCUACAAGAA